rnacentral:rRNA from 1 species
GACAGAGGAUGCAAGCGUUGUCCGGAAUUAUUGGGCGUAAAGAGCUCGUAGGCGGUUUGUCGCGUCUGCUGUGAAAACCCGAGGCUCAACCUCGGGCCUGCAGUGGGUACGGGCAGACUAGAGUGCGGUAGGGGAGAUUGGAAUUCCUGGUGUAGCGGUGGAAUGCGCAGAUAUCAGGAGGAACACCGAUGGCGAAGGCAGAUCUCUGGGCCGUAACUGACGCUGAGGAGCGAAAGCAUGGGGAGCGAACAGG